rnacentral:tRNA from 1 species
UGGGGGCUAGCUCAGUGGUAGAGUGCAUGCUUAGCAUGCAUGAGGUCCUGGAUUCAAUCCCCAUCCCUCCAC